rnacentral:rRNA from 1 species
UACGUAGGGUGCGAGCGUUGUCCGGAAUUACUGGGCGUAAAGAGCGCGCAGGCGGUCGAUCAAGUCGAGUGUGAAAGCCCCCGGCUCAACUGGGGAGGGUCAUUCGAUACUGAUCGACUCGAAGGCAGGAGAGGGUAGUGGAAUUCCCGGUGUAGUGGUGAAAUGCGUAGAUAUCGGGAGGAACACCAGUGGCGAAGGCGACUACCUGGCCUGUUCUUGACGCUGAGGCGCGAAAGCUAGGGGAGCAAACGGG